rnacentral:rRNA from 1 species
GACCUGCGGAAGGAUCAUUACAGAGUUCAUGCCCGAAAGGGUAGACCUCCCACCCUUGUGUAUUAUUACUAUGUUGCUUUGGCGAGCUACCCUUUGGGGUCUUGUAUGCUCGCCAGAGAAUAUCAAAACUCUUUUAUUAAUGUCGUCUGAGUACUAUAUAAUAGUUAAAACUUUCAACAACGGAUCUCUUGGUUCUGGCAUCGAUGAAGAACGCAGCGAAAUGCGAUAAGUAAUGUGAAUUGCAGAAUUCAGUGAAUCAUCGAAUCUUUGAACGCACAUUGCGCCCCUUGGUAUUCCGGGGGGCAUGCCUGUUCGAGCGUCAUUUCAACCCUCAAGCUCAGCUUGGUAUUGAGUCCAUGUCAGUAAUGGCAGGCUCUAAAAUUAGCGCCGGCGCCGCUGGGUCCUGAACGUAGUAAUAUCUCUCGUUACAGGUUCUCAGUGUGCUUCUGUCAAAACCUAAAUUUUCUAUGGUUGACCUCGGAUCAGGUAGGGAUACCCGCUGAACUUAAGCAUAUCAAUAA